GAUGAAGAACGUAGCGAAUUGCGAUAUGUAAUGUGAAUUGCAGAAUUCAGUGAAUCAUCGAAUCUUUGAACGCACAUUGCGCCCGCCAGUAUUCUGGCGGACAUGCCUGUUCGAGCGUCAUUUCAACCCUCAAGCACAGCUUGGUGUUGGGACUCGCGUUAAUUCGCGUUCCCCAAAUUGAUUGGCGGUCACGUCGAGCUUCCAUAGCGUAGUAGUAAAACCCUCGUUACUGGUAAUCGUCGCGGCCACGCCGUUAAACCCCAACUUCUGAAUGUUGACCUCGGAUCAGGUAGGAAUACCCGCUGAACUUAAGCAUAUCAAUAAGCGGAGGA
rnacentral:misc_RNA from 1 species